rnacentral:rRNA from 1 species
UACGUAGGAGGCAAGCGUUGUCCGGAGUUACUGGGCGUAAAGCGCACGCAGGCGGUCGUGUCAGUCUGGGGUGACAGUUUCCGGCUUAACCGGAAAAGGACUCUGGAAACUGCACGACUUGAGGGCUUCAGAGGGAUGUGGAAUUCCAGGUGGAGUGGUGAAAUUCGUAGAUAUCGAGAGGAACACCGGUGGCGAAGGCGGCCUUCUGGACAGUGACUGACGCUGAGACGCGAAAGCGUGGGGAGCAAACAGG